rnacentral:rRNA from 1 species
CCUACGGGAGGCAGCAGUGAGGAAUAUUGGUCAAUGGGCGCGAGCCUGAACCAGCCAAGUCGCGUGAGGGAAGACGGUCCUAUGGAUUGUAAACCUCUUUUGUCGGGGAGCAAAAGACGCCACGCGUGGCGUUCCGAGAGUACCCGAAGAAAAAGCAUGGGCUAACUCCGUGCCAGAAGCCGCGGUAAUACGGAGGAUGCGAGCGUUAUCCGGAUUUAUUGGGUUGAAGGGGUGCGCAGGCGGAAGAUCAAGUCAGCGGUAAAAGUGAGAGGCACAACCUCUUCGAGCCGUUGAAACUGGUUUUCUUGAGUGAGCGAGAAGUAAGCGGAAUGCGUGGUGUAGCGGUGAAAUGCAUAGAUAUCACGCAGAACUCCGAUUGCGAAGGCAGCAUACCGGCGCUCAACUGACGCUCAUGCACGAAAGUGUGGGUAUCGAACAGGAUUAGAUACCCUAGUAGUC